rnacentral:rRNA from 1 species
AUUGAACGCUGGCGGCAUGCUUUACACAUGCAAGUCGAACGGUGACAGGCCUUCGGGUGCUGACGAGUGGCGAACGGGUGAGUAAUGCAUCGGAACGUGCCCAGAGGUGGGGGAUAACGCAGCGAAAGCUGUGCUAAUACCGCAUGUGAUCUGAGGAUGAAAGCGGGGGACCAAGCAGCAAUGUUUGGCCUCGCGCCUCUGGAGCGGCCGAUGUCAGAUUAGGUAGUUGGUGGGGUAAAGGCCUACCAAGCCGACGAUCUGUAGCUGGUCUGAGAGGACGACCAGCCACACUGGGACUGAGACACGGCCCAGACUCCUACGGGAGGCAGCAGUGGGGAAUUUUGGACAAUGGGCGCAAGCCUGAUCCAGCAAUGCCGCGUGCGGGAAGAAGGCCUUCGGGUUGUAAACCGCUUUUGUACGGAACGAAAAGGCUCUGGCUAAUACCUGGGGCUGAUGACGGUACCGUAAGAAUAAGCACCGGCUAACUACGUG